AAUAUUGGGACAUAUAAAAAAAACAACUCUGUUCCGCAGAGUAGCUGUUGACAUUAUAGUUGCGCAGGAACUUUGUUGACUCUAGAGAACUUCGGGCAAAUCGCACAUCCCCGUGGCGACGACUUUGCAUGCGGAUGUCAUCCAUAUCAACUUUCUAUGCCAGUUUCUGCGCCUGCCAUGGUGACCACGGGUAACGGGGAAUCAGGGUUCCAUUCCGUACAGGGACCCUGAGAAACAGCUACCACAUGCAAGGAAAGCAGCAGGCGCGCAAAUGACCCACUCCCGACGCGGGAAGGUAGUGA